rnacentral:rRNA from 1 species
UACGAAGGGGGCUAGCGUUGCUCGGAAUCACUGGGCGUAAAGCGCACGUAGGCGGCUUUUUAAGUCAGAGGUGAAAUCCUGGAGCUCAACUCCAGAACUGCCUUUGAUACUGGAGAGCUUGAGUCCGGGAGGGGUGAGUGGAACUGCGAGUGUAGAGGUGAAAUUCGUAGAUAUUCGCAAGAACACCAGUGGCGAAGGCGGCUCACUGGCCCGGUACUGACGCUGAGGUGCGAAAGCGUGGGGAGCAAACAGG